rnacentral:sRNA from 1 species
AGCAACUUAAGCUAUUAUGAUCCUAAUUUUACAGCUGAGGAAAAUGAGGCACAAAGAAGUCUGUCUCCGAGGCACUAAAGUUCACAAGAAAUGCUACCUUGCUUCAGAAGGCUUGAAGCAUUUCCAUGAGGCCAAUGAAGACUGCAUUUCCAAAGGAGGAAUCCUGGUUAUCCCCAGGAACUCCGACGAAAUCAACGCCCUCCAAGACUAUGGUAAAAGGAGCCUGCCAGGUGUCAAUGACUUUUGGCUGGGCAUCAAUGACAUGGUCACGGAAGGCAAGUUUGUUGAUGUCAACGGAAUCGCUAUCUCCUUCCUCAACUGGGACCGUGCACAGCCUAACGGUGGCAAGCGGGAAAACUGUGUCCUGUUCUCCCAAUCAGCUCAGGGCAAGUGGAGUGAUGAGGCCUGUCGCAGCAGCAAGAGGUACAUAUGCGAGUUCACCAUCCCUCAAUAGGCCUUUCUCCAAUGUGUCCUCCAAGCAAGAUUCAUCAUAACUUAUAGGUUGAUGAUCUCUAAGGACAAGUAAAAAUUGUAAUUUUUACUUAUUAAAAAAUUGCAACACAG